AAGCUCACUCACACUCGAUGAGUGGAGGUUCAAUCUGAGCUUCUCUCUGGUGUCAUUGCUGUUUUUCAAAAACAGCAUUGACACUCAAGAGAAGCUCAGAUUGAACCUCCACUCAUUGAGUGUGAGUGAGC